AACUUGUAAAUGCUCCAGCAUUGGAAAAUUUCAAGAAGGGAUUGGAUAACCAUCUGUCUGAAAUGCUAUAGGAUUUCUUGCCUAAGCAGGGGGUUGGACUAGAAGACCUCCAAGGCCCCAUCCAACUCUGUUAUUCUGUAUGCAUAGCAACU